rnacentral:rRNA from 1 species
UGCAAGUCGAGCGAGGAGAUCCUUCGGGAUGAUCCUAGCGGCGGACGGGUGAGUAACACGUGGGCAACCUGCCUCAUAGAGAGGAAUAGCCUUCCGAAAGGGAGAUUAAUACCUCAUAACAUUGCAGUUUCGCAUGGAACAGCAAUUAAAGGAGUAAUCCGCUAUGAGAUGGGCCCGCGGCGCAUUAGCUAGUUGGUGAGGUAACGGCUCACCAAGGCGACGAUGCGUAGCCGACCUGAGAGGGUGAUCGGCCACAUUGGGACUGAGACACGGCCCAGACUCCUACGGGAGGCAGCAGUGGGGAAUAUUGCACAAUGGGGGAAACCCUGAUGCAAGCAACGCCGCGUGAGUGAUGACGGCCUUCGGGUUGUAAAGCUCUGUCUUCAGGGACGAUAAUGACGGUACCUGAGGAGGAAGCCACGGCUAACUACGUGCCAGCAGCCGC